rnacentral:misc_RNA from 1 species
CGGAGUAUGCCCUCGGGGGCGGAUCUCCAACCCUCCCGUAUACUACAAUUGUCUGUUGCUUUUGGCCGGGCCCCCGCGCCAAGGCUGCCGGCUUCGGCUGGUUUAGUGCCCGCCAGAGGAAACUAAACCCUAACAAAUUUAUGUUUCGUCUGAAAAAAUAUUAAAUAUUUA